rnacentral:rRNA from 1 species
AGUCGAGGGGAAACGACAUCGAAAGCUUGCUUUUGAUGGGCGUCGACCGGCGCACGGGUGAGUAACGCGUAUCCAACCUGCCCACCACUUGGGGAUAACCUUGCGAAAGUAAGACUAAUACCCAAUGACGUCUCUAGAAGACAUCUGAAAGAGAUUAAAGAUUUAUCGGUGAUGGAUGGGGAUGCGUCUGAUUAGCUUGUUGGCGGGGUAACGGCCCACCAAGGCGACGAUCAGUAGGGGUUCUGAGAGGAAGGUCCCCCACAUUGGAACUGAGACACGGUCCAAACUCCUACGGGAGGCAGCAGUGAGGAAUAUUGGUCAAUGGGCGAGAGCCUGAACCAGCCAAGUAGCGUGCAGGAUGACGGCCCUAUGGGUUGUAAACUGCUUUUAUAAGGGAAUAAAGUGAGUCUCGUGAGACUUUUUGCUUGUACCUUAUGAAUAAGGACCGGCUAAUUCCGUGCCAGCAGCCGCGGUAAUACGGAAGGUCCGGGCGUUAUCCGGAUUUAUUGGGUUUAAAGGGAGCGUAGGCCGGAGAUUAAGCGUGUUGUGAAAUGUAGACGCUCAACGUCUGCACUGCAGCGCGAACUGGUUUCCUUGAGUACGCACAAAGUGGGCGGAAUUCGUGGUGUAGCGGUGAAAUGCUUAGAUAUCACGAAGAACUCCGAUUGC